GCGUUGGUGGUUUAGUGGUAAAAUUCAUCGUUGCCAUUCUCGGCCAUGCCUCCCGAGUCAUAUUCAGCAAGAAUAACUUCGAUGAGCCCCGGGUUCGAUUCCCGGCCGACGCA